ACGAGGGGAGCUAGCGUUAUUCGGAAUUACUGGGCGUAAAGCGCACGUAGGCGGCUUUGUAAGUUAGAGGUGAAAGCCCGAGGCUCAACUCCGGAAUUGCCUUUAAGACUGCAUCGCUUGAAUCCAGGAGAGGUGAGUGGAAUUCCGAGUGUAGAGGUGAAAUUCGUAGAUAUUCGGAAGAACUCCAGUGGCGAAGGCGGCUCACUGGACUGGUAUUGACGCUGAGGUGCGAAAGCGUGGGGAGCAAACAGGA
rnacentral:rRNA from 1 species